rnacentral:rRNA from 1 species
CAGUAGCCGCGGGAAAACGGAGGAUCCAAGCGUUAUCCGGAAUCAUUGGGUUUAAAGGGUCCGUAGGCGGUCUUGUAAGUCAGUGGUGAAAGCCCAUCGCUCAACGGUGGAACGGCCAUUGAUACUGCAGGACUUGAAUUAUUGGGAAGUAACUAGAAUAUGUAGUGUAGCGGUGAAAUGCUUAGAGAUUACAUGGAAUACCAAUUGCGAAGGCAGGUUACUACCAAUUGAUUGACGCUGAUGGACGAAAGCGUGGGUAGCGAACAGGAUUAGAUACCCCCGUAGUCCCUGUCUCUUAUAC